rnacentral:rRNA from 1 species
AUUGAACGCUGGCGGCAGGCUUAACACAUGCAAGUCGAACGAGUGGCGGACGGGUGAGUAAUGCCUGGGAAUCUGCCUGAUGGAGGGGGAUAACUACGGGAAACUGUCGCUAAUACCGCAUACCAUCGGAUGUGCCCAGGUGGGAUUAGGUAGUUGGUGGGGUAAUGGCUCACCAAGUCGACGAUCCCUAGCUGGUCUGAGAGGAUGACCAGCCACACUGGGACGGAGACACGGCCCGGACUCCUACGGGAGGCAGCAGUGGGGAAUAUUGCGCAAUGGGGGCAACCCUGACGCAGCCAUGCCGCGUGAAUGAAGAAGGCCUUCGGGUUGUAAAGUACUUUCGGUAGGGAGGCGUUAACUGCAGAAGAAGCACCGGCUAACUCCGUGCCAGCAGCCGCGGUAAUAC